rnacentral:lncRNA from 1 species
UCAGAUUUCUCCUCCUCAAAAAAAAUGUCUCCCCCUCUUUGUAAAAAAACAGAUGUAUUUAUAGAGUUUUUUUAUCUGAUUAGUUGUUUUCUUGGCUGUGUCUCUGUUCUAUCUAUUUCCUGUUUGAUGUUUUUUUCCUUUGCUCAUCAUCUGCGUUUUUUCUACACCUUUGAUGCAUUCAUGAUUUUGAUUUACUUGCUUUGAUCUGUUCUAUUGCUGAGCUUUAAUUUGUCUUUUAGUUUCUUUUUUUAAACUCUAAAGGUUGUCUCUUUGUUCUGCACAAUGUGUACCAAGACUGAUUUAAAAAAUUAUGUUUUUAUGUUUCUCAAUUCAGUUAAAACAGGAACAGAUGUACCCAUAAGCAUGGCUUGUGCAUCAAUGGCAGUCAUCAUCAACAAGGCAGAGGUUGGCCGGGAACAAAGUCAACAUAGCAAGGCUGGCUUGAUCUGAUUUAAAUUUUAUUGUAAUUUAUUUUUGCCUUUAUUUUAGUUUGUAAUUUGAUUUGGUUUUAAAACUCUAAUUAGAUUUGAAAUUGUAAAUUUAAUAUAUAAUGAAAUUAUUUAUUGUAAUUAUUUUU